GAUCAAUGGUGAAGUAUAUCCCGAAGCUGAUUACCUGAUGAAAAAUUGCUUCAAAGAU
ensembl:snoRNA small nucleolar RNA SNORD50